UAAUGUGAUAGAUCGAUCAGCUUUGAGCUACGCGGCGAUGGCGCACCGACGACAACAGCUUGAAGUUGCGUCUGUACCUGGAUGCAGAGUACAAAUAACGUACUGUUCACCUUUCAAGUCAGUAGCACUGCAAUCUGUAGUGCAUCUUUGCACGGUGACUCCGACUCGCAAUCCAAAGUCAGAAAAGCUUAACAGGCCCGGGGAAACGGGUCGUCGUGCUAGCGUCUAAGCCAAUGCAGGACGAUCAAUCCGGCCAGCUGUCAGAAGAUGUCAACUCGUAGAAUAUGAUGGAUGCUGUGCGACGACAACCUCACUACGUGGUUGACAGGCUACGUGUCGCAUGCCAGUGGGCUCAGAUUUGUUUCCAUUGAUUUUUAUGAUACGCGGUUGGAAGCAGAGCAUCUUUUCUAGAAAGAGGAGUACCUAUCCAAUGCCAGUCAAGAGAUCCAAUAUCACGUUCGCAGAGAUGAGCCAGAUGAAUUGUGUGAGAGUAA
rnacentral:lncRNA from 1 species